rnacentral:rRNA from 1 species
AACGAACGCUGGCGGCAUGCCUAACACAUGCAAGUCGAACGGAACCUUCGGGUCUAGUGGCGCACGGGUGCGUAACGCGGGGGAACCUGCCCGUAGGUUCGGAAUAACUCCCCGUAAGGGGUGCUAAUACCGGAUAAUGUCAUCCGACCAAAGAUGUAUCGCCUUUGGAUGGGCCUGCGUUGGAUUAGCUAGUUGGUAGGGUAAAAGCCUAUCAAGGCGACGAUCCAUAGCUGGUCUGAGAGAAUGAUCCGCCACACUGGGGCUAAGACACGGCCCAGACUGCUAGGGGAGGGAGCAGUGGGGAAUAUUGGAGGAUGGGCGAAAGUCUGAUCAAGCAAUGCCGGGUAAGUGAUGAAGGCGUUAGGGUUGUAAAGCUCUUUUACACGGGAUGAUAAUGACAGUACCGGGAGAAUAAGCUCCGGCUAACUACGUG